rnacentral:rRNA from 1 species
UACGAAGGGUGCAAACGUUGCUCGGAAUAUUUGGGCGUAAAGCGCACGUAGGCGGCUUAGCAAGUCGGAUGUGAAAUCCCUCGGCUCAACCAAGGAAGUGCAUCCGAAACUGCUGAGCUUGAGUACUUAAGAGGAUCGCGGAAUUCCCGGUGUAGAGGUGAAAUUCGUAGAUAUCAGGAGGAAUACCGGUGGUGUAGACGGCUCUCUGGACCGCCACUGACGCUGAGACACGAAAGCGUGGGUAGCAAACAGG